UACGGGGGGGGCAAGCGUUGUUCGGAAUUACUGGGCGUAAAGGGCGCGUAGGCGGCCUGCUAAGUCGGACGUGAAAUCCCCCGGCUCAACCGGGGAACUGCGUCCGAUACUGGUGGGCUCGAAUCCGGGCGAGGGAUGUGGAAUUCCAGGUGUAGUGGUGAAAUGCGUAGAUAGUCGGGAGGAAUACCAGUGGCGAAGGCGGCUGCCUGGCCUGUUCUUGACGCUGAGGCGCGAAAGCUGGGGGGAGCGAACAGG
rnacentral:rRNA from 1 species